UACGUAGGGGGCAAGCGUUGUCCGGAAUUACUGGGCGUAAAGCGUGCGCAGGCGGUUUUGUAAGACUGUCGUGAAAUCCCCGGGCUCAACCUGGGAAUGGCGAUGGUGACUGCAAGGCUAGAGUUUGGCAGAGGGGGGUAGAAUUCCGCGUGUAGCAGUGAAAUGCGUAGAUAUGUGGAGGAACACCGAUGGCGAAGGCAGCCCCCUGGGUCAAAACUGACGCUCAUGCACGAAAGCGUGGGGAGCAAACAGG
rnacentral:rRNA from 1 species